GUGGACACCCGACAGCAGACAUCGGGAAAAUCUAGAUUCGCCACAAAAAGGUACGACCGGAACAUUGGUAUCGGCAGCGGAAACCGAUCGCUAUAAUAAAGACGAAAGAGAGCAACUGCCCUACUAUUUUUAAACAUCCGUAUUUGGCCGAUGGUACGCGAAUUGCUAGCCGCGGGUGUCCUUGAAGCAGCAUAUUUUGCCAUUCGGUUGCCCGAGCAUCAGUUACGGCGAUCUGGAUGAGGAAAUGCCCAUCAGCGAUGAUGAAAAUCUGGGAAAGAUUGCCGAGCACAGAAGGUCACGGAAAAGAAGAAAAAGGUGGAAACUAUUUGACCUGAAUUCGAGACAACUUUCGCGACUGGUCAAGCUUGGUCAAGGGAAAGGCAGCCAGAAAAAGCUGAAGAUUAGGAUCCUAAGAGGAAUGAAGUUCAUCAUUCUGCCUUGUUGAGCGGGACUACGAGAGAAAAUAUAGUCCUCAUUAAGAAGAACCGCAAGAUGAUAGAGAAGGAGCAGGAUCGAUAACAGUGGCUGAGAGCCAUCGCAAUGGCAGAAUCGUGAAAAUUCAACAUUGCAUCACCCAUCGAACA